AUUUUAUUAGUAAAAAUAAUUACAUUAUCUUGAUAAGGUAAAGUUCGUUCGAUAAAAUA
rnacentral:tRNA from 1 species